rnacentral:rRNA from 1 species
GACGAACGCUGGCGGCGUGCUUAACACACGCAAGUCGAGCGGUAAGGCCCUUUCGGGGGUACACGAGCGGCGAACGGGUGAGUAACACGUGGGUGACCUGCCCUCAGCUCUGGGAUAAGCCUGGGAAACCGGGUCUAAUACCGGAUAUGACUCCAUGACGCAUGUUGUGGGGUGGAAAGCCUUGUGCGGCUGAGGAUGGGCCCGCGGCCUAUCAGCUUGUUGGUGGGGUGANGGCCUACCAAGGCGACGACGGGUAGCCGGCCUGAGAGGGCGACCGGCCACACUGGGACUGAGACACGGCCCAGACUCCUACGGGAGGCAGCAGUGGGGAAUCUUGCGCAAUGGGCGAAAGCCUGACGCAGCGACGCCGCGUGAGGGAUGACGGCCUCGGUUGUAACGUACUUACUACG